ensembl:snRNA
GGAUUGUAUGAAAAGAGAGAGUCAGCAGCCUCCUUGAUAAGGAUAGAAGAGGUCCUAGCGGUCUUCACAACACAUGGCACUGCCAUCUGCUCUGGGGCAUUUAACAUGACCAUUUUGU